CGCGUAGCAUGCUACGUCAUUCUCCUAAGAAGCUACCCCC
rnacentral:misc_RNA from 1 species